rnacentral:rRNA from 1 species
UACGAGAGGCCCAAUCGUUAUCCGGAAUGAUUGGGCGUAAAGCGUCCGCAGGUGGCAAUGUAAGUCUGCUGUCAAAGCGUCUGGCUCAACCAGAUAAAGGCAGUGGAAACUACAUAGCUAGAGUAAGGUAGGGGUAGAGGGAAUUCCUGGUGUAGCGGUGAAAUGCGUAGAGAUCAGGAAGAACACCGGUGGCGAAAGCGCUCUGCUGGACCUUAACUGACACUGAGGGACGAAAGCUAGGGGAGCGAAUGGG